UGUAGUAUUUUCCGGUGUCGUGUCAGCGUGCUGAAUUUAUCUCAUGGUUUCAAUAGAACUGUGAAAACGUUUUUAUGUAUCUCUUUUGAACAACGAUGUGAGUCUAGAUAACCAGACGAGGUGAAAGUAAUUAGUUCCAUUACUCCGGUCGUUGGUUAUGAUUUCAUUUCCAGCCCUUAUUAGCACAGUAACGUUAAUGACUUGCAUUCAAGUGUAAAUGUUCUCUUAAAACUUCCUAGCUAACGUUACUAUUGUUAGAUUAGCUAAACCCAAACUGAACUUUGACUGAGCAGUAUUUUUUUUGUUUGUUUUUUUGUUGCAGACUUCCAAACGGGAAUUUGUGUAUUAUAUUUGAGAAAAUGGUGUAUUCUUUGUGCAUUACUGUGCAUUACUGUUCAACUAUCUAAUACAUAAUUGUAUGUUCAUUUCUUUGGAAGUAAAUGGCAGAAACUGUUAAGGGAAGGAGCCGUGGACUGAAGUUUGCAGAGCAACAACUACUGUUUCAGUAUGACAUGUUGGAUAAAGGAAUAAAGACAGACACCAAUGUCAGGUUCAAUAACCUUGUUUGUGCAUUGUACAAAUCCCUACACAUGGAGUCCGGGGAACAGUCCGGCUAGUCGAAUACCUAUCAGCUAGACUCCGUAACAACUACUGCGUCGUGGCUGGGUACAAGGUAAAGGUCUUGGUCGGCAGAAGAAUGGCAUGUGAGGCUAGCAUAGUGAAUGUGGCAAGGGAGGGGUGGGACAUCUUCUAGACUGGAAGUGGAAUAUGGAGAGAUAAGUCCUCAAAAGGGAAUGGUGUGCAGGUGAAGAAGUUGGUUGAAGAGGAAGGAAUGAUUUCCAACCAGCAGCCAACGAAAGCCAUGCUGGGAAGAUAAACUUUAUGGAUGCUUUGUGAAGGUACAGAUAAACAAAUCUAACUGGAACACACUUCCAUAUCUGUGCCAAUGAGCUCUCUUGAUAGUACAGCUCUGACGAUGAAGACCAGAGACUGGAACUCUCCAGCACCACCAAGGUUAAAUAAUAAAUGUUAUUUCCCUUUGACGCUGACCUGGUGAAGGCUUGUGGAGGACGCACCGCUCACAAAGGAGCCAGAUAUGGCCUUACCAUGAGUGUCAAGCUAGCCAGACUGGAGCAGCAGGAGCAAGAGUUCAUGGCAAAGUAUGGCAAGAAAAACCAACUAGCGGGUGCAACACCAGAUAGCGUCACUACCCAGCCAGCUGCCCAGAUCCCCGAGGAUGAACUGAAGGAUGAGACCCGGGGGGGGAGGAAGAGUCACUGAGGACACCCGUGAGAAUGUGGCUGAAGAGAAUGCUGAUUCUGCUGUCGUCUCCAGAAGUACCAACAUGGAAAUAAAGGGAAGUUCAAAGGAGAACACUGGAAAGGUGGCAGUGGUUCCUGUAGAGGAAGAACUAUUAUCUUCUGUGGAAGAUAAUACAACAGACAACGCUCAGCCAACCAAGAGGAAACGUUCAAAACAGAGGAAGGUGUUGGAAGAGGGCGAGAGCUGUCAUCUAAAUGGAGAGGUGUGAAACUGCUGUCAUUUCUAUAGGUAGUUAAGCCGGAGGUGGCUGUGAAGAGGCUUCAGAGGGAGAAGGUGCCACUCAGCAACAGACUGACUCAGACACUACUACCAAGAAGAAGUCCUCCAAGAACAGAGGUGGCUAUGGUGGCUGGGGAGAUGGAACACUCUGAUAGAGAAACCAACAAAUCGGAACCUGGUGGACUCCCCUCCAAAAGAGAAAAAGAAACGGGAUGUACCAAUGGAGGAAGUGAGAACUGUGUAGGAGGAACCUAAAAUAAAAGGUAAAAAUAAAAAAUGCAAGGAGGACAAGCAGACAGUAGAGGACAGGUUGCAUGAUGUAUCGGACUCCAUACCUCUAAAAAAAUAGAAGAAAGCUAAACAACAGGAACCAGAUUGAUGAGGACUAGUUGGAGAGGAAACGGGUCAG